AGAGACGGGACCACCACUGCGUCGAACCAGACCUGAAGCCUAGGACGAAGGUGUCACCAUGAUUGCCCUGAACAAGUCGCUCGUUGUUGGCAUCCUCGUGCUGGCCGCUAUGUGCAGCCUUGCCGCAGCGCAGCUCGGCUACGGCACUGGAUACGGUGGCUAUGGCGGUGGCUUUAACCGUGGAUACGGGGGAGGCUAUGGCGGCGGCUUCAACCGCGGAUAUGGAGGCUACGGUGGAGGCUUCAACCGUGGAUACGGGGGAGGCUACGGAUUCGGCCGUUGAUUGAGCUAGGAAUCCUGGAUGAAAACGCUAUCCAUGGGAAGCGGACCUGAGUGGCAAUAUUGAAGAACAACUAAUGGCCUGCAAAAUGAAAACAGGAAUAAACUUGUUUGUAUGUGUUGUUUCAGUACAUAA